rnacentral:rRNA from 1 species
CCUACGGGAGGCAGCAGUGGGGAAUAUUGCACAAUGGGGGAAACCCUGAUGCAGCGACGCCGCGUGAGUGAAGAAGUAUUUCGGUAUGUAAAGCUCUAUCAGCAGGGAAGAAGAAAGACGGUACCUGACUAAGAAGCCCCGGCUAACUACGUGCCAGCAGCCGCGGUAAUACGUAGGGGGCAAGCGUUAUCCGGAUUUACUGGGUGUAAAGGGAGCGUAGACGGCUGUGCAAGUCUGAAGUAAAAGCGCAGGGCUCAACCCUGGGACUGCUUUGGAAACUGUGGAGCUAGAGUGCUGGAGAGGUAAGUGGAAUUCCUAGUGUAGCGGUGAAAUGCGUAGAUAUUAGGAGGAACACCAGUGGCGAAGGCGGCUUACUGGACAGUAACUGACGUUGAGGCUCGAAAGCGUGGGGAGCGAACAGGAUUAGAUACCCCUGUAGUC